rnacentral:rRNA from 1 species
UACGGGGGGGGCAAGCGUUUGUUCGGAAUUACUGGGCGUAAAGGGCUCGUAGGCGGCCAACUAAGUCUGACGUGAAAUCCCUCGGCUUAACCGGGGAACUGCGUCCGAUACUGGAUGGCUUGAGUGUGGGAGAGGGAUGCGGAAUUCCAGGUGUAGCGGUGAAAUGCGCAGAGUAUCAGGAGGAACACCAGUGGCGAAGGCGACUACCUGGCCUGUUCUUGACGCUGAGGCGCGAAAGCUAGGGGAGCAAACGGG